rnacentral:rRNA from 1 species
AGCGAACGCUGGCGGCAGGCCUAACACAUGCAAGUCGAACGGAUCCUUCGGGAUUAGUGGCGGACGGGAGAGUAACACGUGGGAACGUGCCCUUUGGUUCGGAACAACCCAGGGAAACUUGAGCUAAUACCGGAUGUGCCCUUCGGGGGCAAGAUUUAUCGCCAUUGGAGCGGCCCGCGCCGGAUUAGCUCGUUGGUGAGGUAAAGUCUCACGAAGGCGACGAUCAGUAGCGGGUCUGAGAGGAUGAUCAGCGACAUUGGGGCUGGGACACGGCCCGGACUCGUGCGGGAGGCAGCAGUGGGGGAUCUUGCGAAAUGGGCGGAAGCCUGACGCAGCCAUGCCGCGUAAAUGAUGAAGGUCUUAGGAUGGUAAAUUUCUUUCACCGGGGACGAUAAUGACGGUACCCGGAGAAGAAGCCCCGGCUAACUUCGUGCCAGCAGCCGCGGUAAAAC